rnacentral:rRNA from 1 species
AGAACGAACGCUGGCGGCAGGCUUAACACAUGCAAGUCGAGCGGUGAUCCUCCUUCGGGAGGUGAUCAGCGGCGAACGGGUGAGUAACACGUGGGCAACCUGCCCCUCACACUGGGAUAACCUCGGGAAACCGGGGCUAAUACCGGAUACGACCUCGAGCGGCAUCUCUUGAGGUGGAAAGCUCCGACGGUGAGGGAUGGGCCCGCGGCCUAUCAGCUUGUUGGUGGGGUAAUGGCCUACCAAGGCGACGACGGGUA